UUNUGAACUGGGUAGCUAGAGUAUNUCAGAGGGGGGUAGAAUUCCACGUGUAGCAGUGAAAUGCGUAGAGAUGUGGAGGAAUACCGAUGGCGAAGGCAGCCCCCUGGGAUAAUACUGACGUUCAUGCUCGAAAGCGUGGGUAGCAAACAGGAUUAGAUACCCUGGUAGUCCACGCCCUAAACGAUGUCGAUUAGCUGUUGGGCAACUUGAUUGCUUAGUAGCGUAGCUAACGCGUGAAAUCGACCGCCUGGGGAGUACGGUCGCAAGAUUAAAACUCAAAGGAAUUGACGGGGACCCGCACAAGCGGUGGAUGAUGUGGAUUAAUUCGAUGCAACGCGAAGAACCUUACCUGGUCUUGACAUGUACGGAAGAACUCAGAGACGAGUUUGUGCCUUCGGGAGCCGUAACACAGGUGCUGCAUGGCUGUCGUCAGCUCGUGUCGUGAGAUGUUGGGUUAAGUCCCGCAACGAGCGCAACCCUUGUCAUUAGUUGCCAUCAUUUAGUUGGGCACUCUAAUGAGACUGCCGGUGACAAACCGGAGGAAGGUGGGGAUGACGUCAAGUCCUCAUGGCCCUUAUGACCAGGGCUUCACACGUCAUACAAUGGUCGGUACAGAGGGUAGCCAAGCCGCGAGGUGGAGCCAAUCCCAGAAAACCGAUCGUAGUCCGGAUUGCACUCUGCAACUCGAGUGCAUGAAGUCGGAAUCGCUAGUAAUCGCAGGUCAGCAUACUGCGGUGAAUACGUUCCCGGGUCUUGUACACACCGCCCGUCACACCAUGGGAGUGGGGGAUACCAGAAGUAGGUAGGGUAACCGCAAGGAG
rnacentral:rRNA from 1 species